UCGAGAAUUUUUCUCAAUGGGCGAAAGCCUGAAGGAGCGACGCCGCGUGGGGGAUGAAUGGCUUCGGCCCGUAAACCCCUGUCAUUUGCGAACAAAUUGUUUCACCUAAUACGUGAAGCAUUGAUAGUAGCGGAAGAGGAAGGGACGGCUAACUCUGUGCCAGCAGCCGCGGUAAUACAGAGGUCCCAAGCGUUGUUCGGAUUUACUGGGCGUAAAGGGUGCGUAGGCGGUCGGGUAAGUCUGGUGUGAAAUCUUCGAGCUUAACUCGGAAACUGCAUUGGAUACUAUUCGGCUGGAGAGUUGGAGGGGGGACUGGAAUACUUGGUGUAGCAGUGAAAUGCGUAGAUAUCAAGUGGAACACCAGUGGCGAAGGCGAGUCCCUGGACAACUGCUGACGCUGAGGCACGAAAGCUAGGGGAGCAAACAG
rnacentral:rRNA from 1 species